CUCAUUAAAUCAGUUAUCGUUUAUUUGAUAGUACCUUACUACUUGGAUAACCGUGGUAAUUCUAGAGCUAAUACAUGCUAAAAACCCCGACUUACGAAGGGGUGUAUUUAUUAGAUUAAAAACCAAUGCCCUUCGGGGCUCCUUGGUGAUUCAUAAUAACUUCUCGAAUCGCAUGGCCUUGCGCCGGCGAUGGUUCAUUCAAAUUUCUGCCCUAUCAACUUUCGAUGGCAGGGUCUUGGCCUGCCAUGGUUACAACGGGUAACGGAGGGUUAGGGCUCGACCCCGGAGAAGGAGCCUGAGAAACGGCUACUACAUCCAAGGAAGGCAGCAGGCGCGCAAAUUACCCAAUCCCGAUACGGGGAGGUAGUGACAAUAAAUACUGAUACAGGGCUCUUUUGGGUCUUGUAAUUGGAAUGAGUACAAUUUAAAUCCCUUAACGAGGAACAAUUGGAGGGCAAGUCUGGUGCCAGCAGCCGCGGUAAUUCCAGCUCCAAUAGCGUAUAUUAAAGUUGUUGCAGUUAAAAAGCUCGUAGUUGAACCUUGGGCCUGGCUGGCCGGUCCGCCUCACCGCGUGCACUGGUUCGGCCGGGCCUUUCCCUCUGGGGAACCCCAUGCCCUUCACUGGGUGUGGUGGGGAACCAGGACUUUUACUGUGAAAAAAUUAGAGUGUUCAAAGCAGGCCUAUGCUCGAAUACAUCAGCAUGGAAUAAUAGAAUAGGACGUGCGGUUCUAUUUUGUUGGUUUCUAGGACCGCCGUAAUGAUUAAUAGGGACAGUCGGGGGCAUCAGUAUUCAAUUGUCAGAGGUGAAAUUCUUGGAUUUAUUGAAGACUAACUACUGCGAAAG
rnacentral:rRNA from 1 species